rnacentral:rRNA from 1 species
GAUGAACGCUAGCUACAGGCUUAACACAUGCAAGUCGAGGGGAAACGACAUCGAAAGCUUGCUUUUGAUGGGCGUCGACCGGCGCACGGGUGAGUAACGCGUAUCCAACCUGCCCAUCACUUGGGAAUAACCUUGCGAAAGUAAGACUAAUACCCAAUGACAUCCCACGAAGACAUCUGAAUGGGAUUAAAGAUUUAUCGGUGAUGGAUGGGGAUGCGUCUGAUUAGCUUGUUGGCGGGGUAACGGCCCACCAAGGCAACGAUCAGUAGGGGUUCUGAGAGGAAGGUCCCCCACAUUGGAACUGAGACACGGUCCAAAAGCCUACGGGAGGCAGCAGUGAGGAAUAUUGGUCAAUGGGCGAGAGCCUGAACCAGCCAAGUAGCGUGCAGGAUGACGGCCCUAUGGGUUGUAAACUGCUUUUAUAAGGGAAUAAAGUGGGUCUCGUGAGACUUUUUGCAUGUACCUUAUGAAUAAGGACCGGCUAAUUCCGU